UAAGUGCUUUCUAGUUUGGUUAU
rnacentral:miRNA from 2 species